CAGAGGUGAAUGGUGAAGCGCUCCAGGCCCAGGUGCCACUUUGUACCGCUAAGAACAAGGGUAAGGACAACCCCAGGAGGGCAGAGUAGACCGAAAGAACCUGGGCCCCGGACAUCACUGAGUUUAGAGCCUACCCUACCUGUGGACCUUUAGUUCUGUCUCUGCCUUGCAGUUCAGAGAGAGAAGCAAUAAACCAGUGUCUGUCCCCAAGUCACCCCUCAGCUUCCCAAAGAAUCAGGGAAUAGAUGUUAGGGAUUCCAGAAGAUCAUCUGCCCAGCCCACAGAUGACUCACUCACCACCCAGCGCUGGCAUUACCUCCUUAAUGUUUCUUGCAAACUGUUUGGCUUGGUGCCGCCUCUUGGAGCCCGGGCAUAUCUCUUGGCAGCAGAGUCCCCACUCUAUCUGGCUGCGGAAAACCUAAUCCAGUUCAGUUGAGAAUAAAUUUGGACAAUUGGGGAGAACGCUGCAAGUUCAAGGUUAUAUGAGUAAUUUCUUCAUCUGCUCCUGUUUAUGGCCUCCAAGCUCCUUUGAAUACAGGAAUAUUCAGAAGUGAAA